rnacentral:lncRNA from 1 species
CCAACAUAAACACAAAUGAAAUUUCCUCACCCAGUUUGCACUGGGAAGGUUUGUGAGUCGUUAGCAAAAUUGUAACCCACUGAUACUGCUGAUGCAGUGCUGAGAGUGAACUAAAGACUAGACCAGGAUGUGCAUCUCCUACGGGUAAAAUCUCAAUUUAGGAAGUGAGUCUCCUAAAAUAAAAUAUAACCUGAAAUAUAUUCCCUUGUUAUACAGGUGGGCGCCUAACUUCCAUGCUUGAAAUGUAAAGACUGAAAUGUAUUCCCUUGUUAUACAGGUGGGCGCCUAACUUCCAUGCUUGAAAUGUAAAGACUGAAAUGUAUUCCUCUCGUUAUACAGGUGGGUGCCUGGGACAUGAAAUGCAAAAUGUAUUCCUCUCGUUAUACAGGUGGGCGCCUGGCUUUAGGAAAACUAAACAUUGAUAAUCUUAAGACAACUAAAAGUGACUCUCUUUUUUUUCCUUUUUUUUUCAAACGUUUUUUUUUCUUUCAAAUUCAGACGUUUUUUUUUUUUUUGUUUUUUUGUUUUUUGCUUUUUUUUUUCUUGGUAUCUUAGGAGAAAGAUUCAUCAGACUAAGAUUUUGAUCCUAGGAGAAGGUUCAUCAGACUAGGUCUCUAUCUUAGGAGAAAAAUUCAUCAGACUAAGAUUUUG